GGACACGAUCCAAAGGCUUAACUGAAGCAAGGGGUGCAUUUGUGUGGACUUCGGCUCCAACUGAGGCAGUCUCAAGGCACUUGAUGGAGGAUGAAAGUAUUGGCUAAUCAAAACAAGAUCAAGAAGAAAGACCUAUGAAGUACAAGAAGAAGGAAGAAGAUAUUUAGUCUGUAAUAAUGAGGUAAUAACAAAGGGACCGUGUCUAUAGAAGGGCGAAGGAGAGAGUCCAGGGAAGGGUAAAUCAAGAAACCAGAAGAUCUGAGGAGGCAGAUUGCAAUCUGGCAGGAGAGGGUUCUGCUGCAUGUUUUGGUCAUGACCAAGG